rnacentral:rRNA from 1 species
CCUACGGGAGGCAGCAGUGGGGAAUAUUGGACAAUGGGCGAAAGCCUGAUCCAGCAAUGCCGCGUGAGUGAUGAAGGCCUUAGGGUUGUAAAGCUCUUUUACCCGGGAUGAUAAUGACAGUACCGGGAGAAUAAGCCCCGUCUAACUCCGUGCCAGCAGCCGCGGUAAU